GACGAACGCUGGCGGCGUGCCUAAUACAUGCAAGUUGAGCGAUGAAGAUUGGUGCUUGCCCCAAUUUGAAGAGCAGCGAACGGGUGAGUAACGCGUGGGGAAUCUGCCUUUGAGCGGGGGACAACAUUUGGAAACGAAUGCUAAUACCGCAUAACAACUUUAAACAUAAGUUUUAAGUUUGAAAGAUGCAAUUGCAUCACUCAAAGAUGAUCCCGCGUUGUAUUAGCUAGUUGGUGAGGUAAAGGCUCACCAAGGCGAUGAUACAUAGCCGACCUGAGAGGGUGAUCGGCCACAUUGGGACUGAGACACGGCCCAAACUCCUACGGGAGGCGGCAGUAGGGAAUCUUCGGCAAUGGACGAAAGUCUGACCGAGCAACGCCGCGUGAGUGAAGAAGGUUGUCGGAUCGUAAAACUCUGUUGGUAGAGAAGAACGUUGGUGAGAGUGGAAAGCUCAUCAAGUGACGGUAACUACCCAGAAAGGGACGGCUAACUACGUG
rnacentral:rRNA from 1 species